UCUGUCAGUGAUGAUAACAUGACCACGCUUUUUCGAGGCAUUAUAUUGCAAUGAGAUUACAACUCAACAUGCACUACCAUCUGAGACAGA